GACGAACGCUGGCGGCGUGCUUAACACAUGCAAGUCGAGCGGUAAGGCCCCUUCGGGGGUACACGAGCGGCGAACGGGUGAGUAACACGUGAGCAAUCUGCCCUUCACACGGGGAUAACUUCGGGAAACCGGAGCUAAUACCCGAUACGACCACCUCGGGCAUCCGAUGGUGGUGGAAAGCUCCGGCGGUGAAGGAUGAGCUCGCGGCCUAUCAGCUUGUUGGUGGGGUAACGGCCCACCAAGGCAACGACGGGUAGCCGGCCUGAGAGGGUGACCGGCCGCACGGGGACUGAGACACGGCCCAGACUCCUACGGGAGGCAGCAGUGGGGAAUAUUGGACAAUGGGCGAAAGCCUGAUUCAGCAACGCCGCGUGAGGGAUGACGGCCUUCGGGUUGUAAACCUCUUUCAGCAGGGACGAAGCGCAAGUGACGGUACCUGCAGAAGAAGCACCGGCCAACUACGUGCCAGCCGCCGCGGUAA
rnacentral:rRNA from 1 species